UAACAGUCCAAAGAGAGGGAAAAAAUAAUAAUAGAGUUAUACUGUACAACAUUGUCCAACUUAUUAUUUUCGGUAUUAGUGUGUAUCGUAUGUUUAAUCUAUUGAAUCGGAUGCGAAUUGUCCACCGCAAACUCACUAAUGGAUGAAACUUUUGGCAACUUAUCAAUUUUUCAGUAAGAGAAAACGUUUCUGACAGAUGUCAAUGAAAAAUUAUCAAUGUUAAGAAAAAGGAAUCGGUUAGAACAUUAGCCGGGAAUAUUAUAUGUUAUAUCAAAAGCCAGCAAUUAUUGUCCUUAUAUCCUACAAUGUAUUCUACCUGACACUCAUUAAUGCCAGCUAGUUGAAAUUCGGAUAAGUGAAAUGUAGUUGGAUUAUUUCGAGUAAAAUAUCGAUUGUUCCACCUUGUUGGUCAUCCCUAUCGCAUUCUGGUAAACACACACACACAUAACCACAAAUUAACGUCGUAAAAUCUGUGUUAAACUCCGUGGUCGGCAGAUGGCGCUGCUCUUUUCACGUCACAAACGAUCGUUAAAGACGGAAAAGUUAAGAUCAAACAUAUAGUUGACAGAAACAAUCAUUUUUUUACUGGGAAACUUUUGUAGCUCGCCUAACAAAUGGAGAGAGAAAGUUUAAAAAAGAAAAGUGAAAAAGAAAGCUUUAAAGGUAACCGAGCGGAGGGGAAAAGGGAGACUCGUUAUAACACUUCCGUCGGCGAUUAUGUUUUUUCAAUUCUCUCUCUGUCACGUGGCUGAUGGAACCAAUAAUGGAGCUCUUUUAUUCCUCUUCAGCAGUCCAUUACUGGAAUCCAAAAGUAUCAUCGGGUCGGUUUGACUUUCGCUAUUCGCUCCGUCAAAUCUCAAUGUGUGGCUCGACGUCAGUAGCACCGAUAAGUAUUUUUAUUUCCCAAGCGUUAUUCUGUUACCUUUGCCAGGAUAGAAUGGGCGUGCUAGUGUGCACACCUAGCGAAAAAUUAAUUCUAACGAUGCGCAUCGCUUAGAAUGAUUUGUCUGUGCGCGUCUUGUUCCUCUUCCAUCUUAUUUACACGCAUGGGUUUUAAGUCCUUCCUCUCCGUUAUGUUUUAUGCAACAAAUGCCGGGGAUUUGUCAAAAAAUAACUUUAGAUGAAAUAUUAUUUUAGAGUUAAAAAUAACCGUGUAACAAAUCCUUAAAGAAGGAAUAUAUCCUCUCAAGGAUUUGAUAGAGAAAAAAGCGAAUUUGAUCCCAUUCCAUUUAUCACAAACGCCAUUAUGGUUGUUGGCAGGCAAACACCCAAGUCUAAUGAAAGUUUCUCGGCAAAUAAUCUUGGUCCAUUUUCUGACCAUAGUCUUUUUUGGAGAAGGGACUUCUAGUCAUGUGUGUAUGUCUGUUAUGGAACAUUCGCCACUGCUGAUGUUGUUUAUCGAUCUCCUUCUAGCUUGCCAACCAAAGUCGUUUUCUUGACGAUCCGUUUCUCCGAAACGUAACCCAACACCGACUAGUUUCGUUAUCUAAAACAUAUCUUUCAAGUACGAGCAUUUCGAGUGUCGUUCAAAAACUAUUCAGUGGCACAAGAGAAAGAUCGGCAAAGAUCUCACGAUAGCCAUUUUUUUCUUUUAUACAUAUAUAUAUAUAUAUAAUAUAUAUAUAGAUAUAUAUAUAAUUU
rnacentral:lncRNA from 1 species